UUAACUUCCAUUGUCAAAAGGGAAACAACCCAGACCACCAGCUAAGGUCCCUAAUCAUAACUAAGUGGGAAAGGAGGUGGAGAUUCAUAAACAACCAGGAGGUUGGCUUAGAAGCAGCCAUACCUUUAAAGAGUGCGUAAUAGCUCACUGGUCGAGAGUCUCUGCGCCGACAAUGUAACGGGGCUAAGUUAUGAACCGAAGCUGUGGAAUUGCGCAAGCAAUUGGUAGGAGAGCGUUCUGUAGGCCGUUGAAGGAGAAGCGUAAGCAACUCUGGAGGUAUCAGAAGUGAGAAUGCAGGAAUAAGUAGCGAGAAGGGAGGCGAGAAUCCUCCCCGCCGGAAGACCAAGGUUUUCAGGGUAAAGCUUGUCUUCCCUGAGUAAGCCGGGACCUAAGCCGAGGCUAUAGUGCGUAGGCGAAUGGAAAACAGAUUAAUAUUUCUGUGCCAGUCAUAUUUUGUGAUGGAGGGACGCAGAAGGGUAUGUACGCGGAAGAACGGUAGUUUCCGUAAAAGCAUGUAGAAUGACUUGAUAGGUAAAUCCGUCAAGUUAGAUUUGAGGUGUGAUAUAUAGUCGUAAGAUGAAUGUACAAAUCCCACGCUGCCGAGAAAAGCUUCUAACGUUAAGGUAUGACUGCCCGUACCCGAAACCGACACAGGUGGUCAGGAUGAGAAAUCUAAGGCGGACAGGCUAACUCUCGUUAAGGAACUCUGCAAAAUUGCCCCGUAACUUCGGGAGAAGGGGUGCCCCUGAGUGUGAGCAUACACGCGAUGUUAAGCGCUUGGGGGUCGCAGUGAAGAGGCUCAAGCAACUGUUUAACAAAAACACAGGUCUAUGCUAAGCUGUAAGGCGAUGUAUAUGGGCUGACACCUGCCCAGUGCCGGAAGGUUAAGAGGAGGAGUGAGAGCUCCGAAUUGAAGCCCCGGUGAACGGCGGCCGUAACUAUAACGGUCCUAAGGUAGCGAAAUUCCUUGUCGGGUAAGUUCCGACCUGCACGAAUGGUGUAAUGAUUUGAGCGCUGUCUUGACGGGAGGCCUGGUGAAAUUGUAUUACCGGUGAAGAUACCGGUUACCUACAGUAGGACGGAAAGACCCCAUGGAGCUUUACUGUAGCUUGGUAUUGGGUUUUGGCAUUGCAUGUAUAGGAUAGUUGGGAAACUAUGAUGGUAUGGCGCUAGCUAUAUCGGAGUUGUCGGUGGAAUACCAACCAUUCAAUGUUGAAAUUCUAAUCUGUGGUUUGGAGCCACGGAGACAGUGCUAGGUGGGCAGUUUGACUGGGGCGGUCGCCUCCGAAAGAGUAACGGAGGCGUUCAAAGGUUCUCUCAGGUUGGAUGGAAAUCAACCGCAGAGUGCAAUGGCAUAAGAGAGCUUGACUGCGAGACUGACGGGUCGAGCAGGUGCGAAAGCAGGACAUAGUGAUCCGGCGAUUCCGAAUGGAAGGAUCGUCGCUCAACGGAUAAAAGCUACCCUGGGGAUAACAGGCUGAUCCUACCCGAGAGUCCAUAUCGACGGUAGGGUUUGGCACCUCGAUGUCGGCUCAUCGCAUCCUGGGGCUGGAGAAGGUCCCAAGGGUUGGGCUGUUCGCCCAUUAAAGCGGUACGUGAGCUGGGUUCAGAACGUCGUGAGACAGUUCGGUCCCUAUCCACUGUAGGCGUUAGAAUAUUGAGAAGAUCUGUCCUUAGUACGAGAGGACCGGGAUGGACAAACCUCUGAUGUACCAGUUGUCACGCCAGUGGCACAGCUGGGUAGUCACGUUUGGAACAGAUAACCGCUGAAAGCAUCUAAGCGGGAAACUGACUUCAAGAUAAGUAUUCUUUAAGACUCCUUCGAGCCUAGGAGGUUGAUAGGUUGGGGGUGUAAGGGCUGUGAGGCCUUUAGCUGACCAAUACUAAUAAGUCGAAGUUUUAACCUU
rnacentral:rRNA from 1 species